rnacentral:rRNA from 1 species
AAUGAACGCUGGCGGCGUGCUUAACACAUGCAAGUCGCACGAGAACGCUUCUGCUAGCAGGGGCUAGUAAAGUGGCGCACGGGUGAGUAACGCGUGGGUAAUCUACCCUUGGAUUCGGGAUAACCCUUCGAAAGGAGUGCUAAUACCGGAUGAAGUCAUUUAGGCUGUGGUUUAGAUGAUGAAAGGUGGCCUCUCCGAGGAAGCUACCGUUUGGGGAUGAGCCCGCGUACCAUUAGCUUGUUGGUGGGGUAACGGCCUACCAAGGCGACGAUGGUUAGCUGGUCUGAGAGGAUGAUCAGCCACACUGGAACUGACACACGGUCCAGACUCCUACGGGAGGCAGCAGUGAGGAAUUUUGCGCAAUGGGGGAACCCUGGACGCAGCAACGCCGCGUGAGUGAAGAAGGCCUUCGGGUCGUAAGCUCUGUCGAGUGGAAGAACCUUCGUAUGUUGAAUAUGCAUACGGACUGACGGUACCAGCAGAAGGAAGCACCGGCUAACUCCGUGCCAGCAGCCGCGGUAAUACGGAGGGUCGCAAGCGUUAUUCGGAAUUAUUGGGCGUAAAGAGCGCGUAGGCGG